rnacentral:rRNA from 1 species
CAAUAGCGUAUAUUUAAGUUGUUGCAGUUAAAAAGCUCGUAGUUGGAUUUCGGGUGUGAACGACCGGUCCGUCUUUGACGUGUACUGGUUGGUUGCGCCUUAUUGUCGAGGACGUGGUUCUAGCUUUCAUUAGCCGGGACACGGAGUCGGCAGCGUUACUUUGAGAAAAUUAGAGUGUUCAAAGCAGGCUAUCGCUCUGAAUACUACAGCAUGGAAUAACACGAUAGGACUCCGAGCCUAUUCUGUUGGUCUUCGGGACCGGAGUAAUGAUUAAGAGGGACAGUUGGGGGUAUUCGUAUUCCGAUGUCAGAGGUGAAAUUCUUGGAUUAUCGGAAGACGAACAUCUGCGAAAGCAUUUGCCAAGGAUGUUUUCAUUAA